CUCUACAAAGGUUCGGAUGCGGCGAAUGACGGAUCAAGAUCACACGUCUCCCGAGGAUCUAAGCGCUCGAUUCGAAGCUCUUGACCCAAGCUUCAAUCUGUGGUCGCCAAUCAAUCACUUGGAUGAAAUACACUUGAUCCAAGCUCUUCACCGUGUUCGUGGCUGACGGAGACGAGGCGGGACGGCGACAUGAAAAACCGGUGCAUUCACGGAGGAGGAACUCGGGGUCUUGAGAUUUGACAAGUAACCCAUCUUCUGAAGCUUCUACGAGAGCUUCCCUGGGCUUCUUCAAUUUCGUCAUGGAUCGAGAAAAAGCGAGGAAGAAUAAGAAAGGAUCUAGUUCGUUCUUGUUGUCUUCAACAGGACCGGAAGAAAAAAAAGUAAAUCAACAAAAUUAGGGUUCAUGAAUUUGGUAUUUGGGAAAGUGGUUCCGAUUUGAUAUAUGAGAGAGAACAAAGAAUCUAAGGGCAAGAUUAUCGGUGUCCUUAGAGGGAUAUCUUAGCAAUUAAACACUCAUAAUUAAAUGAAAAAUAACCAAUAAAAACAAGGACGCCUCUUAAUUAAGAAGUUUUCGGUGUGGUCCUUACGAGCCACGUGUAGGUCUGAGAUUCACUUCGAAAACAAAUUGGUUCUCUCUCGAAGGCGAUUCAAGCGGCGACGAUUCGAGCGGCUCUAUCGACGGCGGUUCUCUCUCGACGCCACAUCUCUCUCGACGGCGCUUCUCUCUCAACGGUUCUCUUCUCGUUGAUUUUGAUCGAAGUCCAGAGGAUCUGUUGUUUCAUCCACAGCUUUUUCUGCGAUUCAAAGGUGAAUAAUCUACCUGUUUUGCUGAAGUUAAUAACUUCAUCGGGAGUAUCUUCGAUCCUGACAGCAAAGGCCGCAUGGAAAAGCUCAAGGAAAUGGAUCCUAUAAAUUUCGAAACUUCUGAUGUUGCAGAGGAAGGUUCAGAACACUUAAGCUCUUAGCUCUUGUAUGGGAUCUUUGGCCAAGAACCAAACAAGUGAUAUAUCUUUCUUGAUGGGCUUCUUGCUCACAACAACUGUGUAUAUCAACUGAUAUAUAUAUAUUUAUUUGUUCAUGCGUUUUGUAAUUUGUAGUUUUCUUUAUUGGUUAUUUCUUGUCAUAUAUUGAAACCAAAGGCAAUGUAUCAGCUAGCAAAUGCCACUAAAUUCAUAAAGAGACACAUGAGUCUGUUUGUAUCUUAUUAAAAGUCCUACCAAUAAUCAACUCUUUUGUGAUUGUCCUUAACUUUGUCUCUUACCAACCAAAAAUUAUUUAAAUAAGCUAGGGACUCAAAACUAAGGACAAUCAAUAAUGUUGCUCUAAUAGUUUACGUAUCUUCGUCUAGUUUGAAAAUAGGAAAGUGUAUAGUUAAUUUAGUAUAAGGGUAUAAGACACAAACCGUAUGCAAUAUGUGUGCACGUGUAAAAUUAUGUAAAUAGAAACUUAAAAUGGGUGUAUAUGUAAAAAAUUCAAACAUGAUAGUAGUUUUUCUAAUUUCGUUUUACCAAGUCUUGCAUAAAAAAUCUUGAAAGUGACAUCUAGUGACACUUUAAACUUUGAAGAAUUUUCACUAGCACUUUAAAUCUUUAAAGUGGCAUUUAUAUCACAAAAAACCUUCAAUUUGAUUUACGUGUUCAUCAAGCCAAAAACUGACCUGUACAACAGGUAAUUAUGAUGAUGUGUCGGUUUUAAAAAAAACAUUAUUAAUAAAUAAAAUAAAUAUUUUUUAAAAAAAAUUAGAAAAUUAAAUAAGAAAUCAGAUAAGUAAAUA